rnacentral:rRNA from 1 species
GGGGCUCAUUCCACGAGUUCCGUGCCGCAGCAAACGCAUUAAGUGCCCCGCCUGGGGAGUACGGCCGCAAGGCUAAAACUCAAAGGAAUUGACGGGGGCCCGCACAAGCGGCGGAGCAUGCGGAUUAAUUCGAUGCAACGCGAAGAACCUUACCAAGGCUUGACAUGCACGAGAAGCCACCAGAGAUGGUGGUCUCUUUGGACACUCGUGCACAGGUGGUGCAUGGUUGUCGUCAGCUCGUGUCGUGAGAUGUUGGGUUAAGUCCCGCAACGAGCGCAACCCUCGUCCCAUGUUGCCAGCGGGUUAUGCCGGGGACUCAUGGGAGACUGCCGGGGUCAACUCGGAGGAAGGUGGGGAUGACGUCAAAUCAUCAUGCCCCUUAUGUCUUGGGCUUCACGCAUGCUACAAUGGCCGGUACAAAGGGCUGCGAUACCGUAAGGUGGAGCGAAUCCCAAAAAGCCGGUCUCAGUUCGGAUUGGGGUCUGCAACUCGACCCCAUGAAGUCGGAGUCGCUAGUAAUCGCAGAUCAGCAACGCUGCGGUGAAUACGUUCCCGGGCCUUGUACACACCGCCCCGUCACA